rnacentral:rRNA from 1 species
UACAGAGGGUGCGAGCGUUGUCCGGAAUCACUGGGCGUAAAGGGUGCGUAGGCGGCGUGGUAAGUCGGAUGUGAAAUCUCGGAGCUUAACUCCGAAACUGCAUUCGAUACUGCCGUGCUUGAGGACUGGAGAGGAGACUGGAAUUUACGGUGUAGCGGUGAAAUGCGUAGAUAUCGUAAGGAAGACCAGUGGCGAAGGCGGGUCUCUGGACAGUUCCUGACGCUGAGGCACGAAGGCCAGGGGAGCAAACGGG